rnacentral:rRNA from 1 species
UACGAAGGGGGCUAGCGUUGUUCGGAUUUACUGGGCGUAAAGCGCACGUAGGCGGAUCGAUCAGUCAGGGGUGAAAUCCCGAGGCUCAACCUCGGAACUGCCUUUGAUACUGGAGAUCUUGAGUCCGGAAGAGGUAAGUGGAACUGCGAGUGUAGAGGUGAAAUUCGUAGAUAUUCGCAAGAACACCAGUGGCGAAGGCGGCUUACUGGUCCGGAACUGACGCUGAGGUGCGAAAGCGUGGGGAGCAAACAGG